rnacentral:rRNA from 1 species
AUAGUUUGAUGAUGGCUCAGAAUGAACGCUAGCGGCAGGCCUAAUACAUGCAAGUCGAGGGGCAGCACGAGUACUUGUACUUGGUGGCGACCGGCGCACGGGUGCGUAACGCGUAUGCAAUUUACCCAUUACUGGGGGAUAGCCCGGGGAAACUCGGAUUAAUACCCCAUGGUAUCAUAAAGCAGCAUUGUUUAAUGAUUAAAGAUUUAUUGGUAAUGGAUGAGCAUGCGUCUGAUUAGUUAGUUGGUAAGGUAACGGCUUACCAAGACGAUGAUCAGUAGGGGGUCUGAGAGGAUGAUCCCCCACACUGGAACUGAGACACGGUCCAGACUCCUACGGGAGGCAGCAGUAGGGAAUAUUGGUCAAUGGGCGAGAGCCUGAACCAGCCAUGCCGCGUGCAGGAUGACGGCCUUCUGGGUUGUAAACUGCUUUUAUACAGGAAGAAAAAGGCCUUGCGAGGCAAAUUGCCGGUACUGUAUGAAUAAGCACCGGCUAACUCCGUGCCAGCAGCCGCGGUAAUACGGAGGGUGCAAGCGUUGUCCGGAUUUAUUGGGUUUAAAGGGUGCGUAGGCGGGUCUUUAAGUCUGUGGUGAAAGCCCAUCGCUCAACGAUGGAACUGCCAUGGAUACUGGAGGUCUUGAAUUCAGUUGAGGUAGGCGGAAUUGAUGGUGUAGCGGUGAAAUGCAUAGAUACCAUCAGGAACACCGAUUGCGAAGGCAGCUUACUGGGCUUGAAUUGACGCUGAGGCACGAAAGCGUGGGGAGCGAAC